AACAACACCAUAGACCGGAAGGAAUCCCUUCCGGUUGAUGGGGCUGUUACACCUCAUCAACCGGAAGGGAUUCCUUCCGGUUGAUGAGGUUGUU
rnacentral:miRNA from 1 species